rnacentral:lncRNA from 1 species
CGUUGAUAGAUAAAAACGUGUUGCAGUACUAAACUAAUAUGUUGUGCAUCAGUGCAGUCAGUAUUGAACCUAAAGUAUGAAAUUAUGUAAUUAUUAACAUAAUUCCAUGUAAAGAGCAGUUGAUACUGAAAUUAAGUUAACUACACUUAUACUAUACUGAAAAUUAUGUAUUUCCAGCCUGUUCAUAUAUCGGUACACUAAUGAUUUUCUUAUAUAUGUGUCAGAGCACACUUUUGACAAGCUGUAAUCAUAAAAUAAAAGUACACAUGGAUCAUUCAAUUGACUCAGAUCCUAUUUGGAUUUUCAAUUAAAAAUUGGAUAAGACCCAUGACAAACAAACUUAUGAAGUAUGAGCGAAAAUACAUGUGCAUUUGUUUGCCAUUUCGAAUGUGUAUUUUGUUUUGUCUGGAGUUCUAUGUAAGUGACAAAAUUUCAUGCCAAACCUAUACCGUUUCCUGGAGUGCAAAAUGUCCUCUUAAUUCUAUUUCACAUUCCCUCCUCCCCUCACGUG